rnacentral:rRNA from 1 species
UGGGGAAUAUUGCACAAUGGGCGAAAGCCUGAUGCAGCAACGCCGCGUGAGUGAUGAAGGUCUUCGGAUUGUAAAGCUCUGUCUUUUGGGACGAUAAUGACGGUACCAAAGGAGGAAGCCACGGCUAACUACGUGCCAGCAGCCGCGGUAAUACGUAGGUGGCGAGCGUUGUCCGGAUUUACUGGGCGUAAAGGGUGCGUAGGCGGAUGUUUAAGUGAGAUGUGAAAUACCCGGGCUUAACUUGGGUGCUGCAUUUCAAACUGGAUAUCUAGAGUGCAGGAGAGGAGAAUGGAAUUCCUAGUGUAGCGGUGAAAUGCGUAGAGAUUAGGAAGAACA